UACGUAGGUGGCAAGCGUUGUCCGGAUUUAUUGGGUUUAAAGGGUGCGUAGGCGGCUUUGUAAGUCAGUGGUGAAAUAUGGCAGCUUAACUGUCAGGGUGCCAUUGAUACUGCAGAGCUUGAGUACAGAUGAGGUAGGCGGAAUUGACGGUGUAGCGGUGAAAUGCUUAGAUAUCGGCAAGAACACCUAUAGCGAAGGCAGCUUACUAGGCUGUAACUGACGCUGAGGCACGAAAGUGUGGGGAUCAAACAGG
rnacentral:rRNA from 1 species